rnacentral:rRNA from 1 species
AGAGUUUGAUCCUGGCUCAGGACGAACGCUGGCGGCGUGCUUAACACAUGCAAGUGGAGCGACGAACCAGGGCUUGCCCUGGGGCAGAGCCGCGAACGGGUGAGUAACGCGUGGGUAACCUGCCCAGAUGACCGGGACAACCCGAGGAAACUCGGGCUAAUACCGGAUGUGUUCACCCCACAUCAGUGGGAUGAGGAAAGGAAGCUUCGGCCUCCGCAUCUGGAUGGGCCCGCGGCCCAUUAGUUUGUUGGUGGGGUAAUGGCCUACCAAGACUUCGAUGGGUAGCUGUUCUGAGAGGAAGAUCAGCCACACUGGGACUGAGACACGGCCCAGACUCCUACGGGAGGCAGCAGUGGGGAAUCUUGCGCAAUGCGCGGAAGCGUGACGCAGCAACGCCGCGUGCGGGAGGACGGCCUUCGGGUUGUAAACCGCUUUCAGUUGGGACGAGGCUUCGCCGGUGAAUAGCCGGCCGGAGUGACGGUACCUUCAGAAGAAGCCCCGGCUAACUACGUGCCAGCCGCCGCGGUAAUAC